rnacentral:lncRNA from 1 species
UAAAUACAAUAUUCUCAGUGUAAAGAACCUAAAGGGGAAAAAAUUUGUUUUCAAAGAACCAGACAAGCUUUGGAUUCACACUGAAAAUACUACCUUGAACAGUUUUAAUUCAUUCUGUAUUCCUACAUAUUUUGGUCAGAAUGUGGGACAAUUGAAGGCUUUUCUACAACACUUAUAUAUGCCUUUGAACUGAACUGGAAGGAUGGAGGGAUUCUAACACCCUGGCAUUCAUAAGGUAUUUCACCAUUAUGCAUUCUCUCAUAUGCUGAAUUUUGUGCGAUGAAUAAAAGUUUUUCCACACAGGUUUCUCUCUUCCAUAAGUGUGACAGUUAGAAAUAUACUUUCCCACAUUUAUUACCUUCAUAAGGUUGCUCUCCAGUAUGAGCUCUUACAUAUAUCAGAAAGUAAAACUAAAGACUUCACCAUAAAUUUUUGCCAUGUUUUCAAAGGAACUGGGAAAACUGGAGAUUUUACUUUG